AGAAAGCACCGGGGGUGUCUGUGUCAGCUUCAAAUCGAUGACUGAUCAGGCUGAGAAAGUCCCUUUGAACCUGAACAGGAUAAUUCCUGCGUAGGGAGUGUGCAAUUUUCUUUUG
rnacentral:ncRNA from 1 species